AUUGAACGCUGGCGGCAUGCCUUACACAUGCAAGUCGAACGGCAGCACGGGUGCUUGCACCUGGUGGCGAGUGGCGAACGGGUGAGUAAUACAUCGGAACGUACCUUAUCGUGGGGGAUAACGCAGCGAAAGCUGUGCUAAUACCGCAUACGCCCUGAGGGGGAAAGCGGGGGAUCGCAAGACCUCGCGCGAUUAGAGCGGCCGACGCCUGAUGAGCUUGUUGGUGGGGUAAAAGCCCACCAAGGCGACGAUCAGUAGCUGGUCUGAGAGGACGAUAAGCCACAAUGGGAUUGAGACACGGCCCAGCGUCCGACGGGAGGCAGCAGUGGGGAAUUUUGGACAAUGGGGGCAACCCUGAUCCAGCAAUGCCGGGUGAGUGAAGAAGGCCUUCGGGUUGUAAAGCUCUUUUGUCAGGGAAGAAACACCGGCCCUAACACAGUCUGGGAAUGACGGUACCUGAAGAAUAAGCACCGGCUAACUACGUGCCAGCCGCCGCGGUAA
rnacentral:rRNA from 1 species